rnacentral:rRNA from 1 species
UACGUAGGGUGCGAGCGUUGUCCGGAAUUAUUGGGCGUAAAGAGCUUGUAGGCGGUUUGUCGCGUCUGCUGUGAAAAUCCGGGGCUCAACCCCGGACUUGCAGUGGGUACGGGCAGACUAGAGUGUGGUAGGGGAGACUGGAAUUCCUGGUGUAGCGGUGAAAUGCGCAGAUAUCAGGUGGAACACCGGUGGCGAAGGCGGUGGUCUGGGCCGGCACUGACGCUGAAUUGCGAAAGCGUGGGGAGCAAACAGG